UACAGAGGGUGCAAGCGUUGUUCGGAAUUAUUGGGCGUAAAGAGCUCGUAGGCGGUUUGUCGCGUCUGCUGUGAAAUCCCGAGGCUCAACCUCGGGCCUGCAGUGGGUACGGGCAGACUGGAGUGCGGUAGGGGAGAAUGGAAUUCCUGGUGUAGCGGUGGAAUGCGCAGAUAUCAGGAGGAACACCGAUGGCGAAGGCAGGUCUCUGGGCAUUAACUGACGCUGAGGAGCGAAAGCAUGGGGAGCGAACAGG
rnacentral:rRNA from 1 species